ACCUGAUACAUAUAUGGGGAGCCGACAGCCCCCUAAGCCGAGAGCCAGCCGUGCAUACUGGCCUGUUAUUUUGCCUUUAUCUACAGUGCACAGGCUCCCUGCUUUAGCCUGGUAAGAAGGGCCAGGAUGGCAGACCUUCUGAAUUGUCUGCAAACCCACAAAGACAACCUGCUAGCUGUGAAAGGACUGUGCCAGAAGCUGCAUGGACAACAUCCUUCUCCAGUUCCUGGAAUCCUGCCAGCUGAUCGUCCCUGGAUGCAGUACCCAGCAGCAUCGAGGCAGAGAUCAUCCCACACCAGGAGAAAACCUGUUUCCCCCAGAGACUGGGAAGAUUCCUCAAUUCCUCUCAAGCCGGGAAGAUUCCAGCCCCACAAAGUACGAACACUGGGCACAGGCUGUGCAACAACCCCGGGAGGGUGAUUAUUAAUAAGAGCAACACUUGGGAGAUGUUCAAGUCCCACAGGCAUCUUCAUGGCUCUCCAUUGGACUCUCUCCAUCAGGCCACUGUCUCUCUUGAACUGGGGAGCCCAAAGCUGGAGACAGUAUUCCAGCUGUGAAGAGCUGUGAAAGACUUCUGAACAUUGAAGAUUUUAUUUACAGAUGCUUGCACAGAGCUACCUUCUCAAGAAUUUACACCUUCCAAAAUUGUGGGUUUAGCACGCCUGAACACAAAACUCAACAACAGCACAAACCCCAUCAUCUAAGAUCCCAGACACACAAGAUGACAGCUGCAUCUUAUUACAAUUUAUGAUUACCCUCCCACCCAUUUCAAUUUCAAAGCAAAAGGUUUUGAAUUGUUCUAUGAAGGACAAAUUCAGUAUGGUCAUACAUGAAUUUAAACAACAACUAAUGUCAACACCAAAGAUUCGUUACAAGCAGAUGCACCUGCUUGGUGAUAGCAGCGAGAAAAAAAUUGCAUGUGGUGACUAACAAGGUCCCAUUACAGAGUCAGCCAGCUAUAGAGAAUGAUAAUCCAUUGUUUUAAGUUGAGUUAGUCAGAAUAACAUGUAAAAUAACAGGGGGAAAAUGUGAAUUCUUGGAGACUCCACUGCAUCACAGGAUAACACUCCCACCUCCUCCAGAGGGAGAAUAGAAGGCAAGGAAGAGAAGAGAGAUGGAUCAACAUAAUAACUUGAAGAUUUGCUCAAGAACCAUCUUUGCAGAAACAUAAUUACGCAGAGACAAGGAUUCACAGUGUUAUUUAAAUGUAGAAUAGAAUCAACCAAGGGACACAGUCUUCUCUCCAUAAGAUUGUAAAUUAUUGCAAAUAGUCACUCAUAAGAGUCAGCUGGUGCAAAUUUGAAGUCUGGUGAUACAAACCACUACUUUGCUACACUCCUAUCCUAGUUAGGAUUAUUUUCCUUUUUUAAAUGGCAAAAACAUUUUGUGAGUAGCACAUUAGAAUAAAAUUUUAACCUC